GACGAACGCUGGCGGCGUGCCUAAUACAUGCAAGUCGAGCGGACGAAUCGAAAGCUUGCUUUUGAUUCGUUAGCGGCGGACGGGUGAGUAACACGUGGGCAACCUGCCCUGUAGACGGGGAUAACACCGAGAAAUCGGUGCUAAUACCGGAUAACACGAAAUGUCGCAUGACGUUUCGUUGAAAGACGGCGCAAGCUGUCGCUACAGGAUGGGCCCGCGGCGCAUUAGCUAGUUGGUGAGGUAACGGCUCACCAAGGCGACGAUGCGUAGCCGACCUGAGAGGGUGAUCGGCCACACUGGGACUGAGACACGGCCCAGACUCCUACGGGAGGCAGCAGUAAGGAAUCUUCCGCAAAGGACGAAAGUCUGACGGAGCAACGCCGCGUGAGCGAAGAAGGCCUUCGGGUCGUAAAGCUCUGUUGUUAGGGAAGAACAAGUAACGCAGUAACUGGCGUUACCGUGACGGUACCUAACGAGAAAGCCGCGGCUAACUACGUG
rnacentral:rRNA from 1 species